CCUACGGGGGGCAGCAGUGGGGAAUAUUGGACAAUGGGCGAAAGCCUGAUCCAGCCAUGCCGCGUGUGUGAAGAAGGCCUUCGGGUUGUAAAGCACUUUCAGUGGGGAAGAAAGCCUUGGGGCUAAUACCCUCGAGGAAGGACAUCACCCACAGAAGAAGCACCGGCUAACUCCGUGCCAGCAGCCGCGGUAAUACGGAGGGUGCGAGCGUUAAUCGGAAUUACUGGGCGUAAAGCGCGCGUAGGCGGUCUGAUAAGCCGGUUGUGAAAGCCCCGGGCUCAACCUGGGAACGGCAUCCGGAACUGUGAGGCUAGAGGACAGUAGAGGAAGGUAGAUUUCCCGGGGUAGCGGGGAAAGGCGUGAAGUGCGGGAGGAAUCCCAGUGGCGAGGACGGCCUCCGGGACUGACACUAACGCGGAGGUGCGAAAGCGUGGGUAGCAACCAGAAUAAGAACCCUGGUAGUC
rnacentral:rRNA from 1 species